rnacentral:rRNA from 1 species
UACGAAGGGGGCUAGCGUUGUUCGGAUUUACUGGGCGUAAAGCGCACGUAGGCGGAUCGUUAAGUCGAGGGUGAAAUCCUGGAGCUCAACUCCAGAACUGCCUUCGAUACUGGCGAUCUAGAGUCCGGAAGAGGUGAGUGGAACUCCUAGUGUAGAGGUGGAAUUCGUAGAUAUUAGGAAGAAACACCAGUGGCGAAGGCGACUCACUGGUCCGGUACUGACGCUGAGGUGCGAAAGCGUGGGGAGCAAACAGG